GUCUUUCUCUCUCUCUCUUUCCCCUGCCCCAUAUUGGUUGCUGACGUUGUUGUGAGUGUGCUAGCUACAAUCUGCCUGCAUCUGCAAACAUGUUGGGACGUUAUCUAUCGCUAUCAUCGGCAAAAGAGAAUGCAGUGUUCCAGCUACCGUUACGUAUCUGUAUUUCAACUUUAUUCCAGGUACAUCCGAUGGAAUUCGCGAAACUUUAUUCCAGACACUAAUGAUUUGGCCUCGACAGUCUUCUGCGGCAAUGACUUCCACAGAUUCACUAACUUCUGGCUGAAGAAAUUCCUCUAAAGGGAUGUCAAAGGGUAUCUUAGUUGACAUUACCAAGGGAGUUCAAUAUCUCUUUGAAGAACUAUUUUUUCAAGUGUCCAGUGGGUGUUCAAAGAACACUGCCAAAAAGACUGCAGAUGCUGAACCAAGUGCACAUUUCAUGGCUACGGUUGAUACCCUUGCUUCAUAACAAAACAUCACCGGGUUUGGAGCAAAGCUGACUUGAAGUCUAACACUAUUGGCCAGGCUUUUCCUUAGCAUGUCUGAACAUUGGCAGACCCUACUGAAAACAAAUGCUGGAGAUCAGUGGGUCAGACAGCAGCUGUGGAGAGAGAGCAAGCUAAUGUUUUGAGUCUAGAUGAUUCUUCAUCAGACUCUAUCUAGAGACUCCAUUGCAACGGCCUCAGUCUAGCCAGAUCAUUGCAGAGACCCACAAGUCGAGAGUGUGGUGCUGGAAAAGCACAGCAGGCUAGGCAACAUCCAAGGAGCAGGAGAAUCUAUGUUUUGGGCAUACAUCCUUCAUCAGAGACGCACAAGUGCAUGCAAGAGCCUUGGAAAACUCAGUGUAAAAUCAUUAUUUCAUGUUGUACAUGCUUUUUCUAUUUUAGCAUUCUGCACCAAGUGCAGAAUUUUAAGAUAAAAAGGUAUUCGAUCUAGUUAAUAUAAAACAACAUAUGGUUUAAAAAUUCAUCUUAACAGAUAAAUCAAAACCAGCGAAUGAAUUAAUAAAACUGUUAAAAGUUG